GCGUUGCUCGGAAUCACUGGGCGUAAAGGGCGCGCAGGCGGCCCUCCAAGUCAGGCGUGAAAGCCCCGGGCUCAACCCGGGAAUAGCGCUUGAGACUGGGGGGCUUGAGUUCGGGAGAGGAGAGUGGAAUUCCCAGUGUAGAGGUGAAAUUCGUAGAUAUUGGGAAGAACACCGGUGGCGAAGGCGGCUCUCUGGACCGACACUGACGCUGAGGCGCGAAAGCGUGGGGAGCAAACAGG
rnacentral:rRNA from 1 species